UGUGCAGAAAAACCGCGAUCGUUUCAAAUGAGAAAGCGAUGAGUCCCUCUCAUACUGAUAACCAUCAGACAGAGAAACUCCCUUUUAAACUAGCGUCACGAAAUGGAAUCCAAACAAAUAACACCUCAUUUGGGUUUUUUGUUUUUUUGGCCCAAAAGACAAGAAGAAUGUGCCAGUCAAGGAAAAAUGGAAGGUAUUUCAAAAACAAAACAUAAACCCACGAAAUGAAGGUAAGUCACAAUAUUUAGGACGGUCAGCAACAGUAAGGACACCGGGAGUGCGGAUGAUCCAAAUGGAAACCUUGAAUCAUUUUAACGUGUAUCCAAAGGUGAGAAAUAAUAUACAGAUAAAUAACAUACAUAUUAAACUUUAGUACACAUGCACAGGGAUGUCAUUUCCCAUGGAAGACCAGAAGAUGCAUAAGAACAUACUAAAAGGAGCAUCUACAGAUGUUUCUGAUGGAUUUUGGGCAACUAAUUGAAAGUUGCUUCAACUAGUUAACUAAUAUCAACUUCUUCUACUAUCUGGCAUUCACAGUGAAAUGGAAGCAUGACAAGCGCAAAUGAGACCAAAUGAACCAUGGACGGACAGCAACAGCGAGGACACAGAGAGUGCAGAUGAUUGGAAUGGAAGCAUUGAAUCAUUUUAACCUCUGAUCCAAAGUGAGGAAAAUAAUAUACAGACAAAUACCAUAGAGAGCAAACUCCAGUACAGAACUCAUGGUCAUGUACUUCACCUGAGAGGCCAAACGAGUCUUAUUUGGGGCAGAACAAUCCAAUCUUUCUUUACAUAGUGAGAAAGAAACGGUGGAUUGGUGAUUAAAGAUUUUAAAUGAAUAAAGAUUGGUUCCUGGCUUCAGCUCAAAGCGGUUGAGAACCCAAACUGUGUUGAAUAUGAGAGCUGUUGGUGUUUGAGCACAGGGGGGCAGUGUGACACAUCAAAUGAAAUGGCCAAAUAUUGAACCCGAUUCUGCUGACCUUACUGUACAUCUCCAUCAACAGCUCAUUGCAGAACGACAACAGAACAAAACUGCUAUAUUAAAAUCAUCUUUAACUGUAUAUAAAGAGUCCUGGGCCUCUAAAUGAUCAAAACAUGUGUUGUACACAAUCUACUGAUAUAUUGUUAUAUUUUAAGACGAACAACUACUUGACUGAAUCAGCUUGGGUUUACUGAUUUAUACAUUUAUCAUUAUUUAGAAAAUCAUAUAUUAAAUGCCCC
ensembl:lncRNA